rnacentral:rRNA from 1 species
UACGUAGGGUGCGAGCGUUACUCGGAAUUACUGGGCGUAAAGCGUGCGCAGGCGGCGCGUUAAGACAGGUGUGAAAGCCCCGAGCUUAACUUGGGAAUUGCGCUUGUGACUGGCGUGCUGGAGUGUGGCAGAGGUCGGUGGAAUUGCCGGUGUAGUGGUGAAAUGCGUAGAGAUCGGCAGGAACACCCAGGGGGAAACCAGCCGACUGGGCAUCAACUGACGCUGAGGUGCGAGAGCGUGGGGAGCGAACCGG